rnacentral:rRNA from 1 species
AUUGAACGCUGGCGGCAUGCUUAACACAUGCAGGUCGAACGGCAGCACGAUAUGUAGCAAUACAUAUUGGUGGCGAGUGGCGGACGGGUGAGUAACACGUAGGAAUCUGCCCUAAAGAGGGGGGUAACCCGAGGAAACUCGAGCUAAUACCGCAUAAUCUCGAGAGAGAAAAGCUGGGGCAACCUGGCGCUUUGGGAUGAGCCUACGUCCGAUUAGCUAGUUGGUAGGGUAAGAGCCUACCAAGGCGACGAUCGGUAGCUGGUCUGAGAGGAUGAUCAGCCACACUGGGACUGAGACACGGCCCAGACUCCUACGGGAGGCAGCAGUGGGGAAUAUUGGACAAUGGGGGGAACCCUGAUCCAGCAAUGCCGCGUGUGUGAAGAAGGCCUUCGGGUUGUAAAGCACUUUAGGUGGGGAAGAAGAUAUGUAGUUUAAGAGAUGACAUAUUUGACGGUACUCACAGAAUAAGCACCGGCUAACUCUGUGCCAGCCGCCGCAGUAACAC